GAAACUAUAUACAUCACUUUUUUCUGUCAAAUUACUAGUCAUAAGAUACUCCGGAUCUAAGUAGCCAAAAGUCCCUUGUAUUUUUGUGGCCAUAUUAGAUUGACCUGGAGAAAUUAGCACUGAAGCUCCAAAGUCAGCAACCUUCACAGUGUAAUCAUCAUCUAGGAGGAUGUUCGCAGACUUGACAUCUCCAUGAAUAAUUGGAGGGUUUGCUAGAGAAUGCAAAUAAUCAAGUGCAAGUGCAGUCUCCGCAGCAAUUUUCAGACAAUUUUUCCAAUUUGCUAAUAUUUGAGACCUCCUUUGAUGGAUAUGCUGAUAUAGACUUCCAUUUGAAAUGAACUCAUAAACUAACAAUGGAAUUGUGGUCUCCAAACAUAGGCCCAAGAUCUUGACCACAUUUUUAUGGUUAACUUGUGAAACAAUGCCAAUUUCAUGUUGAAACUCUUGAUUGAGUUGAGUUUUGUCCAAGUCUUUUGGCCUUUUUACUGCAACCUGUGUGUUAUCUGCUAAAACUCCUUUGUAAACAGACCCAAAACCACCUUCCCCCAGCAACAGACUUGUAACAUAAUUUUUUGUAGCUUUUGCUAGUUCUGCUUCACUAAAAAUUCUCACUCGUUGGUGCUUUAAUAGUUUACCUCCAUUAUCUAAAAAGUUCUUCUCUUUUCUUCGCUUCUUCCAUAUGAUCACAAUCAGAAAAAUGAUAAUUGAAACCAACAUGAGUGCUCCCAAAACUGUGGCAAGGGUUGUGAUGCGAAACCCCUGACAGUCAGUUUUACCAUCGCCAUGCAUCCCAAGUGGGCAGCUACAUGUGUAAUUCCCAAUUGUAUUCUUGCAACUGCCUUCGCAUGGAUACUUUUCUGGUUCCUUGCAUUCGUCGAUAUCUUGGCAUCCUUGCUGUAGAUAGGGAUUUCCUGUGAAUCCUUCUCUGCAUAAGCACCGAUAUCCCAUACCAUUUUCAGAGAACGUGCAGUUGGUAUUAUCACCACACGCAUAUUCGCUCGUGUUUGAUCUAGAUUGAGCUUUUUCACACGUCUCUUCUCUUACUACCCAUUCAACAACAACAUCUGGAGUUACAUAAUCCUUAGUUGAAUAUGGGUUAUCAGACAGUCGAAAAUUCGAGACAUUGAAGGUCCUCUGAUCGGCCAAAAACGCAAAUCCACAUGGAUUAAAGUCCAAAACAUCGAGAUGAUUGUCCGCACUUUGAAUAGUGAUGUUUAACGUCUUGAGACUUCUUGGUACUGCAGUCUGGCAGCAUCCAAUUCCUGAGCAAGAAUCCUCCAGCGUUAUGUUCUCCGUGCAUAAGGAUACGCAGCCACUUCCAAAGGUUCCUUCUGCAUCAGUCAUGAGGGCUAUUGUAUCGCAGCCAACAGCUGUGAGCUUGUUGCGAGUGUCAGAGAAUCUGAACGGGCCAGCUCCCAGCUUCAUCCACCGGUUUAUAUUCUUGGUCAGCCCUGUCUCGUUGUAGCAGUCGAAAGCCUCGUGGAUGGUGACGGACAUGGUGCCUUCAUCCACAGAGAUAUUCUGAACUGGGAUGUUUCCAAAAUAUAGGGCAGGAGGAUUGUACGUCCAAUUGCAUGUCAACAUGAAGAAAUGGUUCAUGGCACAUCUAGGAUUCACAAUUCUAGCAGAUGUGUCGUUGAUCCCAAAUGGAUAAGGCACAUUAACAUUCCCACAGGUUUUGGGACAAUCACCUGGAGGUAGCACAGCUGCUGAAGCUCUCGUUUCUAUACACCAUAGCAACGACAUCACAAACCAGAAGCCACAUAUCUGCAUAAAUUCUCUCAUUCUAGAUUACACUGUGUAUAAAAAUUC
rnacentral:misc_RNA from 1 species